rnacentral:rRNA from 1 species
CCCUUCGGGGUGUGACUGCGUACCUUUUGUAUAAUGGGUCAGCGACUUAUAUUCUGUAGCAAGGUUAACCGUAUAGGGGAGCCGGAGGGAAACCGAGUCUUAAUUGGGCGUUAAGUUGCAGGGUAUAGACCCGAAACCCGGUGAUCUAGCCAUGGGCAGGUUGAAGGUUGGGUAACACUAACUGGAGGACCGAACCGACUAAUGUUGAAAAAUUAGCGGAUGACCUGUGGCUGGGGGUGAAAGGCCAAUCAAACCGGGAGAUAGCUGGUUCUCCCCGAAAGCUAUUUAGGUAGCGCCUCGUGAAUUCAUCUCCGGGGGUAGAGCACUGUUUCGGCUAGGGGGCCAUCCCGGCUUACCAACCCGAUGCAAACUGCGAAUACCGGAGAAUGUUAUCACGGGAGACACACGGCGGGUGCUAACGUCCGUCGUGAAGAGGGAAACAACCCAGACCGCCAGCUAAGGUCCCAAAGUCAUGGUUAAGUGGGAAACGAUGUGGGAAGGCCCAGACAGCCAGGAUGUUGGCUUAGAAGCAGCCAUCAUUUAAAGAAAGCGUAAUAGCUCACUGGUCGAGUCGGCCUGCGCGGAAGAUGUAACGGGGCUAAACCAUGCACCGAAGCUGCGGCAGCGAACGUAUCACCCAAGACAACUUUACGGAGUUGACGAUUGACGGAGCGAAGCGACGUCAAAGCGUUCAUUAAAGUCGAGUUGGCUUAGGGAUACGUUCGUUGGGUAGGGGAGCGUUCUGUAAGCCUGUGAAGGUGUGUCGUGAGGCAUGCUGGAGGUAUCAGAAGUGCGAAUGCUGACAUAAGUAACGAUAAAGCGGGUGAAAAGCCCGCUCGCCGGAAGACCAAGGGUUCCUGUCCAACGUUAAUCGGGGCAGGGUGAGUCGACCCCUAAGGCGAGGCCGAAAGGCGUAGUCGAUGGGAAACGGGUUAAUAUUCCCGUACUUGGUGUUACUGCGAAGGGGGGACGGAGAAGGCUAUGUUGGCCGGGCGACGGUUGUCCCGGUUUAAGCGUGUAGGUGUGUGUUCCAGGUAAAUCCGGUUCACUUUAACACUGAGGCGUGACGACGAGGCACUACGGUGCUGAAGCAACAAAUGCCCUGCUUCCAGGAAAAGCCUCUAAGCAUCAGGUAACACGAAAUCGUACCCCAAACCGACACAGGUGGUCAGGUAGAGAAUACCAAGGCGCUUGAGAGAACUCGGGUGAAGGAACUAGGCAAAAUGGUGCCGUAACUUCGGGAGAAGGCACGCUGACACGUAGGUGAAGUGAUUUACUCAUGGAGCUGAAGUCAGUCGAAGAUACCAGCUGGCUGCAACUGUUUAUUAAAAACACAGCACUGUGCAAACACGAAAGUGGACGUAUACGGUGUGACGCCUGCCCGGUGCCGGAAGGUUAAUUGAUGGGGUCAGCGUAAGCGAAGCUCCUGAUCGAAGCCCCGGUAAACGGCGGCCGUAACUAUAACGGUCCUAAGGUAGCGAAAUUCCUUGUCGGGUAAGUUCCGACCUGCACGAAUGGCGUAAUGAUGGCCAGGCUGUCUCCACCCGAGACUCAGUGAAAUUGAACUCGCUGUGAAGAUGCAGUGUACCCGCGGCAAGACGGAAAGACCCCGUGAACCUUUACUAUAGCUUGACACUGAACAUUGAGCCUUGAUGUGUAGGAUAGGUGGGAGGCUUUGAAGUGUGGACGCCAGUCUGCAUGGAGCCGACCUUGAAAUACCACCCUUUAAUGUUUGAUGUUCUAACGUGGACCCGUAAUCCGGGUUGCGGACAGUGUCUGGUGGGUAGUUUGACUGGGGCGGUCUCCUCCUAAAGAGUAACGGAGGAGCACGAAGGUUGGCUAAUCCUGGUCGGACAUCAGGAGGUUAGUGCAAUGGCAUAAGCCAGCUUGACUGCGAGCGUGACGGCGCGAGCAGGUGCGAAAGCAGGUCAUAGUGAUCCGGUGGUUCUGAAUGGAAGGGCCAUCGCUCAACGGAUAAAAGGUACUCCGGGGAUAACAGGCUGAUACCGCCCAAGAGUUCAUAUCGACGGCGGUGUUUGGCACCUCGAUGUCGGCUCAUCACAUCCUGGGGCUGAAGUAGGUCCCAAGGGUAUGGCUGUUCGCCAUUUAAAGUGGUACGCGAGCUGGGUUUAGAACGUCGUGAGACAGUUCGGUCCCUAUCUGCCGUGGGCGCUGGAGAACUGAGGGGGGCUGCUCCUAGUACGAGAGGACCGGAGUGGACGCAUCACUGGUGUUCGGGUUGUCAUGCCAAUGGCACUGCCCGGUAGCUAAAUGCGGAAGAGAUAAGUGCUGAAAGCAUCUAAGCACGAAACUUGCCCCGAGAUGAGUUCUCCCUGAGACUUAGAGUCUCCUGAAGGAACGUUGAAGACGACGACGUUGAUAGGCCGGGUGUGUAAGCGCAGCGAUGCGUUGAGCUAACCGGUACUAAUGAACCGUGAGGCUUAACCUUACA